rnacentral:rRNA from 1 species
GACGAACGCUGGCGGCGUGCUUAACACAUGCAAGUCGAACGCUGAACCCGCUUCGGUGGGGGAUGAGUGGCGAACGGGUGAGUAACACGUGGGCAACCUGCCCCCGGCUCUGGGAUAACUCCAAGAAAUUGGGGCUAAUACCGGAUGUGACCGCUGGCCGCAUGGUCUGGUGGUGGAAAGGGUUUCCGGCUGGGGAUGGGCCCGCGGCCUAUCAGCUUGUUGGUGGGGUAGUGGCCUACCAAGGCGACGACGGGUAGCCGGCCUGAGAGGGUGACCGGCCACACUGGGACUGAGACACGGCCCAGACUCCUACGGGAGGCAGCAGUGGGGAAUAUUUCGCAAUGGGCGGAAGCCUGACGCAGCGACGCCGCGUGGGGGAUGACGGCCUUCGGGUUGUAAACCUCUUUCAGCAGGGACGAAGCGCAAGUGACGGUACCUGCAGAAGAAGCGCCGGCCAACUACGUGC